rnacentral:rRNA from 1 species
GACGGGGGAUGCAAGUGUUAUCCGGAAUCACUGGGCGUAAAGCGUCUGUAGGUGGUCAAAUAAGUCAACUGUUAAAUCUUGAGGCUCAACCUCAAAAUCGCAGUCGAAACUAUUAGACUAGAGUAUAGUAGGGGUAAAGGGAAUUUCCAGUGGAGCGGUGAAAUGCGUAGAUAUCGGGAGGAACACCAGUGGCGAAGGCGACUACCUGGCCUGUUCUUGACGCUGAGGCGCGAAAGCUGGGGGAGCAAACGGGG